rnacentral:lncRNA from 1 species
AUCUCCUUUCCCCUCCCUCACACACUCACACCAAUUGUGACACCUUUUCAAGGCUGUCCUUUAAUGUGUGUGUUUGGAAAGUAGAAAAGGAGGCGGCAAAGAAAUACACGUAAUACAAUUUACUCCAAGACCCAAGACUUAAGACCAUGUAUCAGAGAUGACUUCGCUUAGGGGUUCAGAAAAUUCACUGGCAGAAGUCCAAGAUUAAGGUGCCAGCACAUUUAGUUUCUGGCAAGGCGUCUGUUCCUGGCUUGCAAUGGUCACCUUCUGAAUGGAUCUUCACAUUGAUAGAAAAGAGCUAUACGAAAGAUUACACAACUCAGUUCUGACCAUUGAGGAAAAGAAGCCAUUAGUUUCCUGGUGAAUGAAGAUAGACACAGCUUGAGUCAUACCCUCCCCUUUCUGCCUUGAAUGUAGACUCUUUCUCCUCCGUGAUGCCCCUCUGCCAUGCCACCCUACAUUGGAGCCAGCCAACUACGGACUGAAACCUCUACAAACUGUGGCUGCAAUAAAUCUUUCCUCCCUUAA